rnacentral:SRP_RNA from 2 species
GUCAGAUGCGGUGGCAGGCACCUGUAGUCCCAGCUACUCAGGAGGCUGAGGCAGGAGGAUGGCUUGAGCCCAGGACUUUUGAGGCUGCAGUGAGCUUUCUCGCACCACUGCACUCCAACCUGGGCAACAGAGCAAAUCCCUGUCUCUU